rnacentral:rRNA from 1 species
GUAGGUGACCUGCGGAGGGGCAUAUCAAUAAGCGGUUGAAGCGUCCGCCGGUGAACCUGCGGAGGGCCCCAUCUAAACCCUCUGCAGACCUGUCCCUUCUUGCUUCCCCCGGCAUCUCGUCGGGGGGAGGUAACAACCAAAACUCUCUGUGAAUCAAACAGCCGUCAGAAUUAUAAAACAAACAAAAGUUAAAACUUUCAACAACGGAUCUCUUGGUUCCCACAUCGAUGAAGAACGCAGCGAAAUGCGAUAAGUAAUGUGAAUUGCAGAAUUCAGUGAAUCAUCGAAUCUUUGAACGCACAUUGCGCCCCCUGGUAUUCCGGGGGGCAUGCCUGUUCGAGCGUCAUAAAAACCUCCUCCCCCUUCGGGUUUUGUUACUAUCGUUGGGGGGUUUUGGCCUAAUGGGGAUAGCGAUUGGCAAUUCGUUUCCCAAUGUCCUAAAUAGACGUAGACCCGCCUCCAGAUGCGACAGCACCGAGGCCAUCAACCGUGGAGUUAUGGGAUAUAAUAGGCUUGCAGUAAAAUGCUCACCUCUCUCCACACGCCGAUGGCACGACAGUUGCAGUUGCGGGCGUAAAUUGGAGCCCUUUUCAGGACCCUUGUGGCCUAGCAUCCACCAUACAUAAUUUGACCUCGGAUCAGGUAGGGAUACCCGCUGAACUUAAGCAUAUCAAUAAGCGGAG